rnacentral:rRNA from 1 species
UACGGAGGGUGCGAGCGUUGUCCGGAAUCAUUGGGCGUAAAGGGCGCGUAGGUGGCCCGGUCAGUUCGUGGUGAAAGCGCGGGGCUCAACCCUGCGUCGGCCAUGAAUACUGCCGCGGCUGGAGCACUGUAGAGGCAGGCGGAAUUCCGGGUGUAGCGGUGGAAUGCGUAGAGAUCCGGAAGACACCGGUGGCGAAGGCGGCCUGCUGGGCAGUUGCUGACACUGAGGCGCGACACGUGGGGAGCAAACAGG